rnacentral:tRNA from 1 species
GGGGACGUAGCUCAGCUGGAAGAGCACCUGCUUUGCAAGCAGGGGGUCACGGGUUCGAGUCCCGUCGUCUCCA